rnacentral:rRNA from 1 species
CCUACGGGAGGCAGCAGUGGGGAAUAUUGGGCAAUGGGCGCAAGCCUGACCCAGCAACGCCGCGUGAAGGAAGAAGGCUUUCGGGUUGUAAACUUCUUUUGUCAGGGACGAAGCAAGUGACGGUACCUGACGAAUAAGCCACGGCUAACUACGUGCCAGCAGCCGCGGUAAUACGUAGGUGGCAACCGUUAGCCGGAUUUGCUGGGUGUAAAGGGCGUGUAGGCGGGGAAGCAAUGCAGAUGUGAAAACCACGGGCUCAACCUGUGGCCUGCAUUUGAAACUGUUUUUCUUGAGUACUGGAGAGGCAGACGGAAUUCCUAGUGUAGCGGUGAAAUGCGUAGAUAUUAGGAGGAACACCAGUGGCGAAGGCGGUCUGCUGGACAGCAACUGACGCUGAGGCGCGAAAGCGUGGGGAGCAAACAGGAUUAGAUACCCUUGUAGUC